rnacentral:rRNA from 1 species
CCUACGGGGGGCUGCAGUGAGGAAUAUUGGUCAAUGGGCGCGAGCCUGAACCAGCCAAGUCGCGUGAGGGAGGACGGCCCUACGGGUUGUAAACCUCUUUUGCCGGGGAUCAACGGGCGCCACGUGUGGCGUCACUGAGAGUACCCGGAGAAAAAGCAUCGGCUAACUCCGUGCCAGCAGCCGCGGUAAUACGGAGGAUGCGAGCGUUAUCCGGAUUUAUUGGGUUUAAAGGGUGCGUAGGCGGAAUAUCAAGUCAGCGGUAAAAAUUCGGGGCUCAACCCCGUCGUGCCGUUGAAACUGAUGUUCUUGAGUGGGCGAGAAGUAUGCGGAAUGCGUGGUGUAGCGGUGAAAUGCAUAGAUAUCACGCAGAACUCCGAUUGCGAAGGCAGCAUACCGGCGCCCAACUGACGCUGAAGCACGAAAGCGUGGGUAUCGAACAGGAUUAGAUACCCUUGUAGUC